rnacentral:rRNA from 1 species
UACACUCCUGCGGGAGGCAGCAGUGGGGAAUUUUGGACAAUGGGCGAAAGCCUGAUCCAGCAAUGCCGCGUGUGUGAAGAAGGCCUUCGGGUUGUAAAGCACUUUUGUCCGGAAAGAAAUCCUUGGCUCUAAUACAGUCGGGGGAUGACGGUACCGGAAGAAUAAGCACCGGCUAACUACGUGCCAGCAGCCGCGGUAAUACGUAGGGUGCGAGCGUUAAUCGGAAUUACUGGGCGUAAAGCGUGCGCAGGCGGUUUGCUAAGACCGAUGUGAAAUCCCCGGGCUCAACCUGGGAACUGCAUUGGUGACUGGCAGGCUAGAGUAUGGCAGAGGGGGGUAGAAUUCCACGUGUAGCAGUGAAAUGCGUAGAGAUGUGGAGGAAUACCGAUGGCGAAGGCAGCCCCCUGGGCCAAUACUGACGCUCAUGCACGAAAGCGUGGGGAGCAAACAGGAUUAGAUACCCCAGUAGUCCCAU